AACAUUAAAAUUAUAACAUAUACUGCAUGUCUCUUUAUUUUCCCUCUCUAUAAGCUAUUUCGUUUACGUAACUGGGUUUUCUCUCUACUGCGUCCACCGUCUACUGCGAUUACUCUCGUCCUCCGUUCGUUCUCCCUCCCUCACUGUCAUCGUCGCCGUUCGUUCUCCCUCCCUCACCGUUCACGUUCACUGCGUUAUCCUCUUCCACCGUCACUGUUCACUUUCUUCUCCAUCGUUACCGUCACCUUUAAG
rnacentral:lncRNA from 1 species